GAUGAACGCUGGCGGCGUGCCUAAUACAUGCAAGUCGAGCGAACAGAUGAGGAGCUUGCUCCUCUGACGUUAGCGGCGGACGGGUGAGUAACACGUGGAUAACCUACCUAUAAGACUGGGAUAACUUCGGGAAACCGGAGCUAAUACCGGAUAAUAUAUUGAACCGCAUGGUUCAAUAGUGAAAGACGGUUUUGCUGUCACUUAUAGAUGGAUCCGCGCCGCAUUGGCUAGUUGGUAAGUUAACGGCUUACAAAGGCAAGGAGGCGUAGCCGACCGGAAAGAGUGAUCGGCCACACUGGAACUGGGACACGGUCCAGACUCCUACGGUAGGCAGCAGUAGGGUAUCUUCCGCAAUGGGCGAAAGCCUGACGGAGCAACGCCGCGUGAGUGAUGAAGGUCUUCGGAUCGUAAAACUCUGUUAUUAGGGAAGAACAAAUGUGUAAGUAACUAUGCACGUCUUGACGGUACCUAAUCAGAAAGCCACGGCUAACUACGUG
rnacentral:rRNA from 1 species